CUAAACCCACCGUACAAUGUUGAAUGUCUCUUUUUGUAACCUAUUUGAGAUUAAACAAGUAUGUGUAUGGUAUGUACAUAUGAAGGUUGAAGCUGGAUUUCCAUUUUCACGUUGCUGUGGUAUACAUUGCAUAGUUUAGGACCACAAUGCUAAGGCUCAGAUCAUUGGAUUUCUUUCCUUUGGUUACCCUUCCUUGUAUCUAACCAAAUCGGACCUUAUGAGCAGCAGAGAAAUGCUGAGCUGCCGCUACCAUUGCCACCUCUGGCCUGAAUGGUGCUGGACUUCUUGCACUGUUAGGCUCGCUGACUCUGGUUCUUGCAGGCUCAUCAAAGCACGACAAAAUCCGCCCUGAAAAGCGAGCAAACCAACUGGAAUUCUUUUCUCCGCUCAUUUUGUUCAAGACACUGCUAUUCCUUGCUCAAAGUUGAACUGAAAUAAGAAAAUUGCAAAGCUGAAAGGGGCUGUAAAUUGUAAUCUGUAAGCAGUAGCCCAGUUUUGGUUCGUGGAUUCUACUAACAAUAGAAUUUCCAUUUAUAUAGUACAAAAUAUGUCUUGGUGAUCACGCUUUUAUUGGAAAGAAUUAGGUCUCAGGGGGCUUGAUUGUUGAAGAUUUCUUGAUGGAAACGACAUCCAUUUUUGACCAGAAGAUGCUUGCCAAUGCUGACUGAGUCAUAUUCCCAAGGUGUCUAGCAGUUUCUUUGAUGUUGUUUGCAAACACCCUUCCCACUUCCCACACUUGAAAAAGAAGAAAUUAAACUCUUCUGCAACUGCAAGCUAACGAAUUUAAACACUGUGAUAGCAUCCUUACAAUUUCAAGCCUUUUUCUUCACCUUGUCAAUUACAUUCUUUAAGGUCCUUCAGCAGCAUUAUCAAGUGCAAGAAAGAGGUAUGAGCAGAUGUUUGAAAUUUGUCUGAUCUAGAAACAUUGCAGAUAUCAAGUCUAAAACCAAAACAAAUGCCACACCCUAGUAGUACAUAGAUAACAAUAUCCUUCCCAUUCAACCAACCAUAAAAUCAAGAAAAGAACAAUUAACAUAUUUUCAAUCAUGGAUCAAACAUCUUCAUUAAUCUGCUAGACUAUGUUUACAUCAAUCAGAGCUAUUAAUAUGCCUAAGGAAAAUAAGAGAGCCCUCUCUCUACAAAUUGUAACCAUUAGGAGCAUGCUAGUCCACAUCAAAAUUGGUUGGAGACUGCAUGUAUAAAAAUAAAUUUUUUUUCUCCAAAAAGGACUAAAACUAAAUUAAAUAUCAAAUGAAAAAGGUCAAAAAACUUCAUACCGUAGCAUAUGGGUUAAAUAGAAGUUAAAUUUAAGGGAUUGAUCCGUUUAGUUCUUCGACCAUGGUUUAUGCAAAACCUUGCUUUUUGGAAGAAGUACUUUUCACAACCUUCCUUAGAUUCAGCUUAUGAAACUCUUUCUUCAUGAAGAAC
rnacentral:misc_RNA from 1 species